rnacentral:misc_RNA from 1 species
GAUGAAGAACGUAGCGAAAUGCGAUAAGUAAUGUGAAUUGCAGAAUUCAGUGAAUCAUCGAAUCUUUGAACGCACAUUGCGCCCGCCAGUAUUCUGGCGGGCAUGCCAGUUCGAGCGUCAUUUCAACCAUCAAGCCCCCGGCUUGUGUUGGGGACCUGCGGCUGCCGCAGGCCCUGAAAAGCAGUGGCGGGCUCGCUGUCACACCGAGCGUAGUAGCAUACAUCUCGCUCUGGGCGUGCUGCGGGUUCCGGCCGUUAAACCACCUUCAUAACCCAAGGUUGACCUCGGAUCAGGUAGGAAGACCCGCUGAACUUAAGCAUAUCAAUAAGCGGAGGA